rnacentral:lncRNA from 1 species
GUGCUUGGAAUUAGAGCCAGCCAGGAGGGGCGCGCUGGGGAGGCUCUUUCUGAGGCCUCAUCCAGCAGAUACUCCCGCCAGCCACUCCGAAUGCACUCCCACUCCGCAGCCGCAGCCAGCCAUCAACCGGUUGUGGCCACGCAAGGGCCAAGUUCUUUUGUUUGAGGUGUUCUCCCCUUUUCCCCUCAAAUCCUCUCCUUUCCAGGACCAUGAGCUUCCUGUUGCCAUUUUUCUAACCAACUGAAUUACAUGGGUAAUUGUGAACAAAGAUGGUUCCUGCUGGUCUCACCUUUGGAACAUACAAACUUAAGCUCCCCCAGGUUAUUCCGAAGUGCAUCCAGAGUUGAGGAGCCUGCCUCAGAGUUUUCAGAGCAGUCACGGCCUGCCUUGGCUCAAUCCUUGCCACAGCCUGGAUGGCAGAUGAGAAAACUGAGGCACAGAGAGGCUAAGUGGCCCAUCCAAAGCCACAUCUGGAUAGUGGACAUGGAGAUAUCUGGCACUCACAGCUACAUGAUCCUGCCAUUAAGACCAUCCAGGUAAACCCAU